GACGAACGCUGGCGGCGUGCUUAACACAUGCAAGUCGAACGGAAAGGCCCUGCUUUUGUGGGGUGCUCGAGUGGCGAACGGGUGAGUAACACGUGAGUAACCUGCCCUUGACUUUGGGAUAACUUCAGGAAACUGGGGCUAAUACCGGAUAGGAGCUCCUGCUGCAUGGUGUGGGUUGGAAAGUUUCGGCGGUUGGGGAUGGACUCGCGGCUUAUCAGCUUGUUGGUGGGGUAGUGGCUUACCAAGGCUUUGACGGGUAGCCGGCCUGAGAGGGUGACCGGCCACAUUGGGACUGAGAUACGGCCCAGACUCCUACGGGAGGCAGCAGUGGGGAAUAUUGCACAGUGGGCGGAAGCCUGAUGCAGCAACGCCGCGUGCGGGAUAACGGCCUUCGGGUUGUAAACCGCUUUCGCCUGUGACGAAGCGUGAGUGACGGUAAUGGGUAAAGAAGCACCGGCUAACUACGUG
rnacentral:rRNA from 1 species